rnacentral:rRNA from 1 species
GACGAACGCUGGCGGCGUGCUUAACACAUGCAAGUCGAACGCUGAAGCUCAGCUUGCUGGGUGGUUGAGUGGCGAACGGGUGAGUAACACGUGAGUAACCUGCCCUCUUCUUUGGGAUAACGCCCGGAAACGGGUGCUAAUACUGGAUAUUCACUGAUUCUCGCAUGGGGGUUGGUGGAAAGGUUUUUUCUGGUGGGGGAUGGGCUCGCGGCCUAUCAGCUUGUUGGUGGGGUGAUGGCCUACCAAGGCUUUGACGGGUAGCCGGCCUGAGAGGGUGACCGGUCACAUUGGGACUGGGAUACGGCCCAGACUCCUACGGGAGGCAGCAGUGGGGAAUAUUGCACAAUGGGCGAAAGCCUGAUGCAGCGACGCCGCGUGAGGGAUGGAGGCCUUCGGGUUGUAAACCUCUUUCGCUCAUGGUCAAGCCGCAGCUUUGGGUUGUGGUGAGGGUAGUGGGUAAAGAAGCGCCGGCUAACUACGUG